rnacentral:rRNA from 1 species
GACGAACGCUGGCGGCGUGCCUAAUACAUGCAAGUCGAGCGAAGCGGCGGAUGGGUGAGUAACGCGUGGGUAACCUGCCCUUAAGUCUGGGAUACCAUUUGGAAACAGAUGCUAAUACCGGAUACUAAAGGAUGGACCUGCGAUGCAUUAGCUAGUUGGUAAGGUAACGGCUUACCAAGGCGAUGAUGCAUAGCCGAGUUGAGAGCCGUAUCGUCCAAAUUGGAACUGAGACACGCCCCAACCUCCUACGGGAGGCAGCAGUAGGGAAUCUUCCAAAAUGGACGAAAGUCUGUUGGAGCACCGCCGCGUGAGUGAAGAAGGUUUCCGGUUCUUAAAGCUUUUUUGUUGGUGAAGCCGUAAUCAACCAGAAAGUCACGGCUAACUACGUGCCAGCAGCCGCGGUAAUAC